AGUACCAUUCAUCUCCAAACUCUCUGCCCGCGUUCCAUUAUCAUCAACCCGUGUACCGAUAUUAGGUUCCGUCAAAGUUUGAGCUAAAUUUCAUUAGAUGGUAGCCCUUAGUUUUCCAAAAGUUCUGUUGCUAUCACUUUUGCAGAGUAGACAUCUGUUCAGACAGGUUUCAUCUUGAUCUUUAUGGCUGUCACCAACUUUUACUUUCAGAUCGCACCAUGGAAAAAUCUCUAACUUUCAGACUGCAUUAACCAAUAAUGAAUUUUUGACUGGUUUUUAUGUUGUUCUUACAACUUAUUAUCGUCUUACUUAUAACUGAUAUCAAUAUCCAUUAGAGU